AGUGAACGCUGGCGGUAGGCCUAACACAUGCAAGUCGAACGGCAGCACAGUAAGAGCUUGCUCUUACGGGUGGCGAGUGGCGGACGGGUGAGGAAUACAUCGGAAUCUACUUUUUCGUGGGGGAUAACGUAGGGAAACUUACGCUAAUACCGCAUACGACCUACGGGUGAAAGCAGGGGAUCUUCGGACCUUGCGCGAUUGAAUGAGCCGAUGUCGGAUUAGCUAGUUGGCGGGGUAAAGGCCCACCAAGGCGACGAUCCGUAGCUGGACUGAGAGGAUGAUCAGCCACACUGGAACUGAGACACGGUCCAGACUCCUACGGGAGGGAGCAGUGGGGAAUAUUGGACAAUGGGCGCAAGCCUGAUCCAGCCAUACCGAGUGGGUGAAGAAGGCCUUCGGGUUGUAAAGCCCUUUUGUUGGGAAAGAAAAGCAGCAGGUUAAUACCCCGCUGUUCUGACGGUACCCAAAGAAUAAGCACCGGCUAACUUCGUG
rnacentral:rRNA from 1 species